GUGUUUCCUCUCUGGCCAUUGCCAUCCGCCCAAAUCUACAGACAUCCCGCAUGUUCCCGGGCUCGUCUCCCCAAUACAGGGCACCAAGGCUGUAGACUGCGCAGCCCUCCUGGAGACAGAUGGAAGCUCCUUGGGUCGACAGAUUACAGCUUCUGGAACCCCCUACUCCCUUCAACUCCGAGAUGGACACCCACUGUCCAGGGAGAGGAUGCCUGGAAAUAACAGCUGGGAUCUACAGUGGCCAAAGAGUUGUCUCCGUCUUGCUACAUCGACAAACUGGUGCUCCUGAGUGAGGAUUGUGCCCUGGGAUGGGGGAUUCAGUUUCUUCAUUUAUAGUUGGAAGUGGGUGAAGCCACUUCGGAAGCGUUUUCCUCUCCACUCUGACAACAGGCAAGAGUGAGGGUCCAACAAUACAGAGGAAGUAACGUGUCGCUGCUACUCUUCCAUGCCCAGUGCCAGGAGCGACGGUACACUCCAGAGUGCUGUGCCCUGAUGGGCCUUUGAGUGGCCAGUGCAGUGGAUCAUCAGCCCUGUCUCCCAAGAGCUCCAGUCCCUUCUCCGGAGAGGAAGUGGGUCCACUGGCAGCUCAGGAGGCCAUAGCAGUGAUCUUGGCUGCCGUGUCCUGGUCAUUGGUAGUGCAGGGAAAGGAUGCGGAAAGACGGGCUCCGAGCUCGGGGCGUCUGGCCUGGAGCUUUCCUACACUUGUGUCUUGCUCUGCAGCCUUACGGAAGUGUGGGUGGCGCUUUCUGGAAGCUGCACAAGUCAGUGCUGGGUCUUCGCAACUUGGUGUUCUGUUUCCAGAAACUUGGGGUGUUUGCAUGUGCUAGGUCAGCACAGAUUUCCAAAGGAUCUCUAGGAUUGUCACGUGUGCUCAACAGUCCUCCUCGGCUUUCCAGAAGAGGCUGGAACAGGGCCCUUGAAGAUGUUUGUGGACAUCAGAGGGCCAAAGACGACACAAAGUGAAACUGGAGACACCGCCCCCCCUUGGCAUCAUGAAACUGCCGAUGUUACUGGCUCAUGCAUGGGAGACACCAGCAUACAAAGUCUUGACACCAACACCUCAGAGGGCUGUGUUCUGUCCCCGUGACCAUCAUCUAGUGCCUGGAAAGACUAGUGACAAGAACUUGUUGCCAACUUCCUAUUACCUCCCUAACAGUUGUGCAAUAAACCCCAUAGGUUAAUUCA
rnacentral:lncRNA from 1 species